rnacentral:tRNA from 1 species
GGUGGCUCAGUGGUAGAGUGUUUGCCUAGCAUGCAUGAGGUCCUGGGUUCAAUUCCUCAGCACCA